ensembl:lncRNA
CGCUUCCCUGACCGCAGAGCCGCGCCCUCGGGCCUGCUGGCUGCCCCUGAGCCGCGGGAUGGGCUUCUUUUCUGACAGUGUUUUCUUGAGGAACCGCGCCAGCGAGGUGGCCGGGCGGGGCUCAGGGCGGCCAAACUCGGGGGCCAAGCCCAGGCCGCGGGGGGCCCCGAAGGCAGACAGAGCGCGCUGCAGCUUCACUUGCGGCCGCGGAAAGAGGCGGAACUUGCGGAUGAGAGAUAGCUUGGACCUGGCAGGUUUGUCCAUGCCCUGCUGCUCAAAGAAAGCAGAGCUAGGCAGGCGGAAGGAGGUGCCCUGCCGCUCCCCGCCUGGCUCUUCUGGCUCCUCCAGUUCCACAAUGUCAUCCAUGGGGUGGGCGUAUGGGUUGUGGGGUGACAGGAUGGGCGCUGGUACCCAGGGGUAAGCAAAGGCUGACUCUUCUGGGUACAGAUAGGGCGCGCCUGGGGGAUAAAUGGCCUCGUCUCCUCCACCGUAGAUGCCUUCGGCAUAGGGGACAGUGUGGGGGAUCCCAUAGGGAUCAAGGUAGGGCAUACUGUAGGGAUUCUCAUACGGCAGGUCAUAGGAUGGGCAAGGCACUUCGUAGGGCGCAUAGGGAUCCGGGUAGUAGCUGUAGGGGUAGCCUUCGCCUUCGAGCUCGUCCUGGUAGCUGUAGGGUGACGAGUACCCUGAUGGGGGCGCGUAUGGGGGCUCAUAGUCAUAGUAGCCGUAGCCGUGGCCAGGGAAAAAGGAGCCGCCAUAGUGGUCAGGCAGGUAGUAGUCGUAGGGGUCCUCGGGCGGGUACUCGUAGGGGUAGUCAGUGUAGGGUGGCCAGGCUGGGCUGUAGAGACCAUAGCCAGCCAGGUAGGCCUCUUGCUCCUCGUAGCGGUGCAUUGACUGCUGGUCGUAAUAGUCAUCGCCCUCGCGAUGGUAGUCAUAAUAUUCACCCAGGUCCUGGAAGCCUUCCAGUCCAUACAACGACUUUCGAGAGCCCGCGUGCCGAAAGGGUGCCUCGUCCUCAAAAGGUAGCGAACACUGCCCUGAAUGCUAAGAGGUCAGACUUCAGUGGAGCAAGACACGGUCUCUGUCAGAGUUCCCAAGGUCACAGACCUUAAGCUAAGAGUCACAUCAUCCAGAAGAGCUGUGAAAGUCAAAGCAUGACCCCAGGUACUCAACACCACAAUGGAGGCCCAGGAAAGCUCCUCUAAGAAGUAGCAGGAAUCAAACUCAGGAUCUUAUGCUUGCCAGGAAGGCAUGGCACCGCUGAGCUACAUCCCUGGCCCCGAUACACAGUUCUUGAGGAGGGCAGAUGAGCUUGGAGUUUCUUGCCAAAAGAGGGUUCCAAAAUAAUGAACUGUAUAAUCUAAGCUGGAGGAGGGACAUGGAGAAUGAAUAUACAGAUAUUGUACAGACACACAGAUGCUUUUUCCCUUGGCUUCUUUACAUGAGCUUUCUAAAGCUGCAGGCCAGGUUGUCCUCUGGGGUACCAGCCUGGGGCUGAGUACAGCCCUGCUGUGUGGGGAUGGGCUGAGUGAAGCUGCAGGACCCUCCUGUAAUGGCCAGGGGAGGGUGAGUGAUGGGACCAAGGUGGCCAACAGGAACAGGGCCCAGCCCUGGAGUUCACCUUGGUAGCAUGGGUUAGGGACCACAGAGGUUGCUUAGAGGGCUUCCCAGCCAAAGGCCACUAAGCUGGCUUGUCACUUUGACUUGGGCAUGUACAGCUGAAAAGUCCCUCUCACACAGUUCACCCUUGCUGAUCACAGAUCCAAAAAGUCCAGGGCACAAUACAUGGAGAUGUCUCUGAUCCCCAACACAAAGACUGAGCCCAGCAAACAAGUUCAC